rnacentral:rRNA from 1 species
UGCUUAACACAUGCAAGUCGAACGGCAGCGAGGUUCGUAGCAAUACGAACUGUCGGCGAGUGGCGGACGGGUGAGGAAUACGUAAGAAUCUGCCCUGAAGAGGGGGAUAACUCGAGGAAACUCGAGCUAAUACCGCAUAAUCUCUGAGGAGGAAAGUUGGGGCAACCUGACGUUUUAGGAGGAGCUUACGUCCGAUUAGCUAGUUGGUGGGGUAAAAGCCUACCAAGGCGACGAUCGGUAACUGGUCUGAGAGGAUGACCAGUCACACUGGGACUGAGACACGGCCCAGACUCCUACGGGAGGCAGCAGUGUGGAAUAUUGGACAAUGGGGGCAACCCUGAUCCAGCGAUGCCGCGUGUGUGAAGAAGGCCUUCGGGUUGUAAAGCAC